GACGAACGCUGGCGGCGUGCUUAACACAUGCAAGUCGAGCGAUGAAGUUCCUUCGGGAACGGAUUAGCGGCGGACGGGUGAGUAACACGUGGGUAACCUGCCUCAUAGAGGGGAAUAGCCUUCCGAAAGGAAGAUUAAUACCGCAUAAGAUUGUAGUACCGCAUGGUACAGCAAUUAAAGGAGCAAUCCGCUAUGAGAUGGACCCGCGUCGCAUUGGCUAGUUGGUGAGGUAACGGCUCACCAAGGCGACGAUGCGUAGCCGACCUGAGAGGGUGAUCGGCCACAUUGGGACUGAGACACGGCACAGACUCCUACGGGAGGCAGCAGUGGGGAAUAUUGCACAAUGGGGGAAACCCUGAUGCAGCAACGCCGCGUGAGUGAUGACGGUCUUCGGAUUGUAAAACUCUGUCUUCAGGGACGAUAAUGACGGUACCUGAGGAGGAAGCCACGGCUAACUACGUGCCAGCCGCCGCAGUAAAAC
rnacentral:rRNA from 1 species